UUUUUCCAAGGAUAUCGGUAAUUAAAAAUGCGACAUUACCUAAUUUAUGGAAAAUUGUCAAAAUGAUCUCUCGCUUUCACCGGAAUAUUCAUUGUUGAUGUGUAUAAAUAUAUCUAUUCCAGAAUUCGAAGGCGGCUCAGUAUACGAGAGAGAGAUGCGUAUCGAUCGCGUGCGCUGCUGACUCGGCAGGUGGCUGGUACGCUUCAGGGUGGCGUAGCCUGGAACACGCACCAAGCAAACUUACAGUAUCUUUAACAAUUAUCAAUAACCUUGGUUCAACCUGUGCUUAAUUUGGGACUAGAUGACAUUGCGCUGUAUGAAAACAUCAAGAAAAGAACAAAGGUGAAAAUAAAUUUUAAACUCAAAAGUUUGUAUGGCUCGGGGAUCAACUGUCGGCAACAUUCCAUGACAAUUGGAGCAUCGAUACGCUUUAAGCUGAAACCUCACUAAGCAAGCGAUAGAAUGAACUAACGUCGUUCACACUAUAUACAAGCUGAAGCGACACAACGAGCUGAUAUCUGACAAUUUAAGAAAAACAAGAGCACCAUAAUUCUCGUGCCGGUUGAUCAGAUACUGCCGUAAUGGCAAUAAUGGAUCCUGGUCAGCGGCCCGCAUGCAAAUAAAUCUGCGGCCCGAUGCAAUGAUGUGUGGAAAAUGGGGCUCACCCCUUUUGCCCAGUCGUGUCCCACCUACGCUGAUCUGCUGGCCCGAUGCUGUUUUAGUAACAAAUAUAAACCUGAGGUUAUAAACGGCACGGUACAUAAAGAUUAAAUAAACCUUCGCAGUCUACGCUCAAUUAGCCAUGAAACUAAUAGGGAGGCGGUGAGAAAGAAUGAGGUGCAUUAAAGGUGUUUGUAGUACGCCUGGGCACAGAGCAGCCAUCUGUCCUGCCGUAGUCCCACAAACUCACGAUAGGGCAGUCAGUACCUCCGAAUAAUGGACACAAGACGAGAGGGGACCGACUAUAAGUCACAAAGAGCUAUCCUUUAUCAGCGAAUCAAUGACCGCCCGUUAUGAUACAUGGGACUUACCGGGUACAGUUUUAGCUAUCUCUGAAGAAAUGUAAUAUUUAUAAGGGUAAGCCUCGUUAAAAUCUUUAU